GAGCUACAACGUCACACCUUUCUUCUUCAUAAAGAUGAAGGUGGAGGGUGUAGCAUCCUAUGAGAGGAAAUGGGUCUGCUACCUGAAUUAAGAAUUCAGCAGGGACCGGCUCCGCGGGGGAGUGGUUAAGUUCGCACGCUCUGCUGCGGUAGCCGAGGGUUCAGAUCCUGGGCUCAGACAUGGCACCGCUCCUCAGGCCACGUUGAGGCGGUGUCCCACAUCCCACAACCAGAAGGACCUGCAACUAAGAUAUACAGUUAUGUACUGGGGGGUUGGGGAGAUAAAAGCAGGAAAAAAAAAAAAAAAAGAUUGGCAACAGUUGUUAGCCCAGGUGCCAAUCUUCAAAAAAAAAGGGAAUUCAGCAGUCAAUCCUCGCCCCCCCACACCAGGCAGUGCCAGCUGGGAGGAUGGAUGGAGAGAUUGCUGGGACCGACCUCAGGUCUGGGCACCACCCAGUGAGUCUCACCAUGGAGAAACAGAGGAACACUGCUUCCUGAAGCCUCUGGCUCCCAAAGGAAAAAGGAGACCAGCUGGUGCCUGGAAACAGAGGGUAAGCCGCUAUCCGUGAGCUCUGGAGUGGCUGCAGAAUCCUGGGCGCUGGGCUUCCAGGCUUCAUGGACAUGGGAUCAGGAGGACCUCACUUGUCUGCGCUGCUGCUGUGGCUUUGGUCUGCAUCCCUGGGGUCCUGCAAUGCAUGCAUCCUUUUCUGCUGUGCCUCUAGUAACUUUUCCAGGAGACAAGAGCCCUGAUAAAUGGUGUUUUUCCAUCUUCCCAGCCUGCUGCCCUGCCUGCUCAAGUCUGCCUCUGUUCUGUGUUCUUUGUGCUUCCUAAUGUUUACCCAUCCCUGUCUGAAUGGCUCUUAAACUCAGUCUGGCCUUUUAACAACUGUUCAUAAUAAAAAGACCUAUUACUUACUGCA
rnacentral:lncRNA from 1 species